rnacentral:rRNA from 1 species
GAUGAACGCUAGCGGCAGGCUUAAUACAUGCAAGUCGAGGGGCAGCAGGGUGUAGCAAUACAUCGCUGGCGACCGGCAAACGGGUGCGGAACACGUACACAACUUUCCUUUAAGUGGGGAUAGCCCAGAGAAAUUUGGAUUAAUACCCGUAAUAUUAUGAAGUGGCAUCAUUUUAUAAUUAUAGCUCCGGCGCUUGAAGAUGGGUGUGCGGCUGAUUAGGUAGNGGCGGGGUAACGGCCCACCAAGCCUACGAUCAGUAACUGGUGUGAGAGCACGACCAGUCACACGGGCACUGAGACACGGGCCCGACUCUACGGGAGCAGCAGUAAGGAAUAUUGGUCAAUGGACGCAAGUCUGAACCAGCCAUGCCGCGUGAAGGAUGAAGGUCCUCUGG